rnacentral:lncRNA from 1 species
CCAGCAAAAAACUCUAACUAUCAAAUAAAUUAAGCCUAACACAGCAAUUCCUCAAGCAACAUAUUACAUCAACUAAUAGUGAACAAAAUCCAUGAUGUAACCAACAAAAAUAUAAGGUACAUGACACAAAUUGAAAUUAACAUAUUUUAGUUAUGGAGAUGAAGAUUCCAGUAGAUGACUCUUCAUAAACCUAAUGCACAAGCGGCAUAACAUGACAUCUACAUUAUUAAAUACAGUACAUUCUACUAUUAAGAACAAGGGGAUAUCAAACUUUCUUCGUAGACUUCAGGGACCAUCCAACGAUUGAUGUUUUGAAAUUCGGGUGUUUUAAAAGUACCGUCUUUAGAAUUGUAAACAACCAACUCAGCCUGACACUCUAGCAACACCUGAUCAUCCUCAGAAACAUAAAGUACUUUGGUGUAAGGACAAGGCCCGACAUCUCCAAUGUAAGGAAUACGGAACAAUUUAGUCCAAGUAUCUUUAUUUCCAUACUCUUUCAUAAGCCAAACAUCUGAAAAAGUAUCACUAUGAGCAAGAAUGCACAAGCAAUCCCUCACCACCUCUAACGUUAAAGUAACCACCAUUACCGCUCCAUAAUUAGGCUGCACUAACUCUUGAUAACAUUCCUUCUCCAAAUCGAGAGAAACAAUGAUCCAUGUAGUAUAAGAAUCUUUAGAUGCCAACCAAUUAAUAGUUCCGCUAACGAAUGUUCCCGAUGAAUCGAAAGGAACACCAGAAGGAAAAUCUUCAAUCCAUCUCCAAGAAUUGGUGCCCAAAGUAUGAACCUUCACAUUAGUUUUGUAAACCCUAUUAUCUGAUUCAGAUUCAUAACAAUUAACAGCAACGACCAUGUAACUGUAAUUAUCAUUGAAAUUAUCAUAGCAAUAGCCAAAUCCAUAUAUUGUGUAACUUCCUUCUCGUUUUGGAUUCUCCAAAGAAGGCAAUUUCACAAAUUUUCUAAUGGAAGGGUUCCACAAAAGAGCAAAACGUUGAUCGAGUGCAAAACAGAGUAUACCAUGGCAAGAUCCAACAAUGACAUCAAAACGGUUUCGACUGGGCAGAGGGUAAUCUAGCUGUGUAGCAGCGGCGGCCGUGGCGGUUAUUUCUGUAAAGACGGAGGAGAGAGGGUAAUCCGUGAUAACAAACUCGCGUGAGGAAUUAACGUAGGUUAAGAUAAGGUGGUGGCGCGUGGUUGACACACGAAGGUGCUUUUUGGCGAAUUUAGGAUCGGAGAUGAGAGAUUUCCAGGGUUUACUGACGGAUUUGAGUUGCAUGAGGAAUUUGACUGGAAGCUUAGAGAGAAUAUCUGCGAUGAUUUCGAAUGGAAGAGUGGGAAGUGGCGGUGAUGUNNNNNNNNNNNNNNNNNNNNNNNNNNNNNNNNNNNNNNNNNNNGGUGGAGGAGUUCAAACGCCGCCUCUUGGGGGCUGUUGUUUCCUCCGUAGGUAGAUUUGAUGAAACGGCGUCGUUUGUGUCGUCAUCGUUGUCGCUAUUUGGCGCCAUUUUUGAGUGUGGCUACUAAUUAAUUGCUAAAGCUAAAUGAAUGAAUUUUUAAUUAAAUAAAUACUAAAAAUUUGUGUGAAAUUUCCGCAUGGCAAUUACCUUGUAAUUUCUGGUGCUUCUUCCUUCUCAAUUGUGUUGUCACAGUUCACUCAGAAGGUUCCAUCUUGACCUUGUGGAAAAUAAUAUCAGUCGAAUUGGAAGAACUUGUGGUGCGUGUUGUUUUAUCUUUAAGUUUUGCCCGGAGAUUAGAAAAUGAUAAGGAAAGUUAUUUUUAUCUUUACUUUAUUAAGAAAGAGAAAAUAUAUUUAAUUAAUGAUUUAACUUUUGUAAGGGUACAAAUGGUAAAGUAUCACUAAAUAUGCAUUGGUUUCUUAAAAGGACUAAAGGUUUGAGACAAAAUAAAAAUAAAAAAAAAACUAAAGAUUUGGGACGGAGGGAAUAUAAAAUAAGAAAUAAAUUUAAUUUUAGAAUUAUUUUUGGGAUUGAAUAAAUUAAGGGUCAAGUCUCAUAAGUCUCAACUCAACUGACAAAAUGUCGAAAUUGUUAAGCCAGACGUUGUGUCCAUAUUCGAAUACGGGAUCCCACAAUUAUAUAUGAGUUUAAUUUCAGUCGAUUACCACUUCAACUAUGAUAAAAAACUUAAGGGUCAAAGAACGGAAUUGGAUCCUCUCCGGUGAAAGGAGAGGUUCAAUGUAAUUAUGUUCGAGUAAGCUGUCAAAUACCCCCCUGAAAUUUUAAAAUUCGUCAAAUACCCCUUAAAAUUUGGAAAUAGGCAAAUACUCUCUGAAAUUUUAAAAAGUCAAUCAAAUUGCCCCCUGACACUACCAGUCAGAGUCCACGCCAGGGGGCAAUAUGAUUGACUUUUUAAAAUUUCAGGAGGAUAUUUGCCUAUUUCCAAAUUUCAUGGGGUAUUUGACGAAUUUUAAAAUUUCAGAGUGUAUUUGACAGUUUAUUCAUGUUCAUUCAAAUUAAUAAAAUAACAUUAAAAUUAAAAAAGACAAAGAAUAAAGGGUGGAUGAGGCUAUUAAACUCCCUCAUGUGAAAAUGCAUGUCAUUGAAAUUGAUCCUUUUCCGACGAAGGAUCAAUAAAAACUAAAAUUUUUAUCGUUAAAAUUACAUGACAAUUCUUUAUCUCUAUACUAAAAUUAUAUUUUAUUCGUCGAAUAUUAUACAAGAUACAAUUUAUUCAAUACAUCAAACUUUAUCGUAUAUAGUCAUGUAAGUUUACUAUUCGUGACAUUUUGGAGAUCAACCGUGUGUAUCUCAAUAAUUGUUAGUUUGUUACUUGCUUUUACAUUUGCAUAGCACUUAGCACAGCUAGGGGUGGACGGUGGGCGGAUAUGGAGAUUUUUUUCCCAAAAUAUACCUCUCUCCCUCUCUUAUUUCCCGUAAUACCCCCCUCUCAAAAUUUUUUCCCGUAAUGCACCUCUGACACAAGACAAACUUGAUAGCACCAUUUGAAAUGGCUACAUGUACAUGUGAUNNNNNNNNNNNNNNNNNNNNNNNNNNNNNNNNNNNNNNNNNNNNNNNNNNNNNNNNNNNNNNNNNNNNNNNNNNNNNNNNNNNNNNNNNNNNNNNNNNNNNNNNNNNNNNNNAAAUAAAAAUAAAAACAAUAACAAACCCAAAAUUUGGAGUUUAUAUCUAGAAAAUAUGCAACCAGAUAUGAGAGAAUUAUGAAACAAACACAAAAUAAAAGUCUUAAAAACCCUAAAUCGACAUAAAAAGUAAGGAAAAAAAUUAAAAUCUCAAAUAAAAUUAAAAUAUAACCUUUGAUUUCAACGAAUUUAAACAAACAAGAUGAAAAAUGAUCAAAUUUUGGGUUUCAAAAUGUUUUAGUCUAUGUGGGUUUGAGGUGAAGUGAGAAAGUGUGAAGAGGAGACGUGAGAAGAGCUUAGAUUCAGCGUUUUGAUUUACUCAUGCGGGCGGGUUUCAGGCAGUGUCGGUCCAGUUUUCUCUACCCGAAAUCACUCGUAAUAACCUAGUCUAAACCAAAUUUUUCAACCCACUAACCCGCGACNNNNNAUCUCUAAUUUUUGGGCGGGUUUGGUUGGGUUCGAACGGGCCUCGGUGUUUUACCCAGCCCUAAACACAGCUAGUUGGAUAUGAAUUUUUUGAAUUUGAGUUUGCUUAAAUUAUCCAUUCCAUUCUCAAUUCAUUGUUCAUUUACAAAAAAAAUCAUAAAUCUAUAACAAUAUAUAAAAAGGAUAGGUGAGUUUGGGAUGGACUUUUCAAUAUACCUAUUUUACCCUUGACUUAUUUUCACAACUUCCAUUAACUAAUCAAUUUAAAAAAAAUAAAAAAUAAAUUCAAAUCAUAAAAAUGUGAAUAAGUGGCAAAUGGGUUGCUUAUACAUGAAUGAUUACCAACUUAAUACUACAUCUAUACUAUAUAAAAAGAUAAUACAAAUAUUUUUGGUAUCGUUUUUUCAUAAUACCAACGAUAUCCUUAUUUUUUUUUAGCAAUAAAAUUUUUUUAUUAACAAAUUCAUCAUAACAUAAAACAUUUUUUUGGACAUAAGUUAGACACAGGCAGGCGCGGAACGCGCCUGUCUGGCCCGCUAGUGAUAUAUAAACACAAUAUACACUUUUCCAUUUUUUAAAUAAUAUAUUGUUCUUUAUAGAUUUGCGUGCACAUUCUUUUCCUCUUGUAUUUAUACAAUGUCAAAUACGUGUCCACCAAAUUUGUGUUUAAAUAACACAACUCUCAAUAGACACAAUUGAAAGAUUAUUAUGAUUUGUUAGAGCGCACACAUCAGUUAAAUAUAAUUGUGUUUUAUCAUUUUAAGAAACGCAUGUGUUCGAGGAUAGUGGAUAUUCCUUCCGGACACAAAUAUAAGAAAAAAAAUUAUUUACGCGGUGUUUAAGAAAUUUAGUUAAGUGUAGUUAAUUUUCUUGAUUUAAUGCAAAACAUGAGUAAAGUUUAUUAUAUUACACUUUGAAAAGUUAUUUAUACCUUGAAAAUCACAUAAACUUUUGAAAAGUGAAAUAAGUGUAAAAGUGAUUAAAUAAGGGUAUAUUAUGAAUAGUAGUAUUAAUCUAUUACUGAAAUAUUAAAAUCGAUUACCACCAAAAUUCUUAAUUUAUCCUUAUUACUUUUAACCACGUUGCAAGUUUUAUAUCCUUCAUUGUAAUUUCACUAAAAUAAAUAUUAAAAAAAUAUAGAAAAAUGAUAUGCUUAAAAAUAUGAACAAAACAUAACAAUCUAUACAUAUAAAAGAAGAAAAUAAUAAUAAUAAUAUAAUAAAGUUAAUUAAUAUCAAACUUACUAAAUUACACUAUAUAUUUCUAAUAAAACUUCUAAUUUUUUAUUAAAAAUAUACACGGGACCAUUAUUUGUCACUAAAACAUAAAAAAUUGAAUAAAUAAGUUUACAAGAAAUAAUUAACGUAAUAAUUCCACUUAUAUCUUAACAAUAUUAUAUAACAAAUUUUUAAAUAUUUAAUUGAAAGUAAAUUUUCUACAUUAAUAUAGUGACAGACUCAAAUAUCGAAUAAAAAUUAGUGGACCCGUGCGAAUGCACGGACUCGCACGGGUCUUUAAACUAGUUAGUUUAAAAGUAGUUAAUUUUUGCUUAUAUUUGUGUCCAAAAUUUGAAGUUUUUUUUUUUCUUACAACUUGGCCAAAGAUUUAAGGAAUUGAGCUAACACACAGAGCUGAAAAAAAAAUUAAAAUUCUAGCAAAUCAACUACCACUUAUUCAAGUGGUCAACAUAAUUUGCAGAAGCCACAAACAUAGUUCCCAUUUUCCAUGUAUUAGGUUUUUAUAUUGGGUCUAACUCAUUCUUACAAAACCGGCUAGUAAGGUGAAAGAUGUCUCUCUAUAUAAGCUCGUGUCAGGCCUCAUCUUAUAUCUAUGCGGGACUUGGUCUUUUUUCCAAAACUAUGAUAUCAUGAGAUAAAUAUGAAUUAAUAUUCAUUUGAAUAAAAUUAAAAUGUUGGCUGUUGAACCUAGCACUUCCUCGAAUAGGGUUCAAAAUUUGGAAUGAAAACACCAUUAAACAAUUUAAUCCAACCUAAUCAUAAAAUACAAUGACAAAAUAAUCUAAAAAGAACAGAAAGUGAGCGAGAGAGAGGAAACAUAUUACCGUCGGGAUGGAUGGUAGGGGAACUAUGCAGAAUAGUCUAGAACCACAACUUUUGGCAAAAAUAUGUCACUCUAACUUGAGACGAAUAAACUUCACCUAGGUUCAGACAUCCCAGCAACAAGCAGUUUUGUAGCACACAUAAAAUUUGUGUAGAUGUUAUCAAUCAUUUAAACAUACACACAAGUGACAGCCAGAGGGGAUAGAACCUAAUUUCAAUCUUUAUAAAGACAAACUACUAAUCAUAUAAUGAAUUGCAAAAUUAAAGAACCAGAUAAUAACUCUAACUAUCGAAUAAAUUAAACCCAACUCAACAAUAUCUCAAGCAUAUGCUGAUAGAAUGAGGCAACAACCUACAGAAUGAUUUACACAUUGACAUUUCAGUAAAAUCAUUCUAAACUGUUAAGUCAGAAUAAAACUUAUUAUGGAAAGAGCCACAACAUUCAACCCCUCAGCAACUCCCUUUUCAACAAAAAAAUAACUUGCAUUACAAGAGCAAUUAUAUGUUGAGACAAAAGUUAUAACAAGUGCAACCAGCCCAAGUAAAAUCUAUGUAAGUUUAAUCUCAACAAACUCAAGUUGCCCAGAGAUUUAAGGAACUGAACAGAACUCAAAAAGAACAAGUCUUUCAACUAAAUCAGCUAACACUAAUUCAAGCAGUCAACACAAUUUUCAUAAGCCAUAAACCUAGUUCCUAUUUUCUAUGAUAUCAUUAGAUAAAUGUGAAAAUCGCCAUUACAGUGUUGGCUAUUGAACCUAGCACUUCACAGGAUAGGGUUCAAAUUUGGAACAAAAGCGCCAUUAAACAAUGAAAUCCAACCUAAGCAUAGUAAACAAUGAUAAGAUAAUCGAAAAAUAACAGAAAAAAUUAGUGAGAGAGAAAGAGAGAGGAAACAUAUUAUCGUUGGCAUGGUGGAGGAAUGAUGCAGAACAGUGUAGAAUCACAGUUCUUUGCUUUUGGUAGAAAUAUGUCACCUUAAGUCUUAACUAAAGACAAAGAAACUUCACUAUGCUUCAGUUCAAACAUCCCAGCAACAUGCGAUUUUGCAGCAUACAUCAUAAAUUUUUUGUAGCAGACUAGCAGUGAUCAAACAUUUUAAAAUACACACAAGUGACGGCUAAAGGGCAUAGAACCUAAUUCCAAUCUUAGCAAACCAAACCACUAACCAUAUAAUGAAGAGCACAAUUAAAAAAACCAGCAAAAAACUCUUAACUAUCAAAUAAAUUAAACCUAACACAUAACAAUUUCUCAAGCAACACAUUACAUCAACUACUAAUGAACAAUAAUCCAUGAAGUAACAAGCAAAUAUAAGGUACAUGACACAAAUUGAAAUUAACAUAUUGUAGUUAUGGAGUUGAAGAAUCCAGAUGGUUCUUCGUAAACCUCAUGCACAAGUGCCAUAACAUAACAUCUACAUUAUCACAUACAUUCUACUAUUAAGAACAAGGCGUUAUCAAACUCUCUUGGUAGACGUCAUGGACCAUCGAACAAUUGAUUUUUUGAAUUUCAGUAGUUUUGAGAGUACUGUCUCUAGAAUUGUAAAUGGCCAGCUCAAAUUGACGCUUAUAUCGACUCUCCAGCAAUACCUGGUAAUCCUCAGAAAGAUAGAGUGGUGUGAUGUUAGGAGAAGACUCAAGAUCUCCCAUGCAACUACGAGGAAUACGGAACAAUUUAGUCCAAGAUUCUGUAUUUCCAUACCCGUCCAUAAGCCAAACAUCUAAAUAAGUAUUACUCUCAGCAAGAAUGGACAAGCAAUCCCUCAACACCACUAAGGUAACCUCACUAUAAAUUCCCAAUCCAUAAUCGGGCUGCAUUAUCUCUU